rnacentral:rRNA from 1 species
GGAGCUUGCUCCUUGAUUCAGCGGCGGACGGGUGAGUAAUGCCUAGGAAUCUGCCUGGUAGUGGGGGACAACGUUUCGAAAGGAACGCUAAUACCGCAUACGUCCUACGGGAGAAAGCAGGGGACCUUCGGGCCUUGCGCUAUCAGAUGAGCCUAGGUCGGAUUAGCUAGUUGGUGAGGUAAUGGCUCACCAAGGCGACGAUCCGUAACUGGUCUGAGAGGAUGAUCAGUCACACUGGAACUGAGACACGGUCCAGACUCCUACGGGAGGCAGCAGUGGGGAAUAUUGGACAAUGGGCGAAAGCCUGAUCCAGCCAUGCCGCGUGUGUGAAGAAGGCCUUCGGAUUGUAAAGC